rnacentral:rRNA from 1 species
UACGUAGGGUGCGAGCGUUGUCCGGAAUUAUUGGGCGUAAAGAGCUUGUAGGCGGUUUGUCGCGUCUGCUGUGAAAAUCCGGGGCUCAACCCCGGACUUGCAGUGGGUACGGGCAGGCUAGAGUGUGGUAGGGGAGACUGGAAUUCCUGGUGUAGCGGUGGAAUGCGCAGAUAUCAGGAGGAACACCGAUGGCGAAGGCAGGUCUCUGGGCAUUAACUGACGCUGAGGAGCGAAAGCAUGGGGAGCGGACAGG